AGUGAACGCUGGCGGUAGGCCUAACACAUGCAAGUCGAACGGCAGCACAGUAAGAGCUUGCUCUUACGGGUGGCGAGUGGCGGACGGGUGAGGAAUACAUCGGAAUCUACUUUUUCGUGGGGGAUAACGUAGGGAAACUUACGCUAAUACCGCAUACGCCCUACGGGUGAAAGCAGGGGAUCUUCGGACCUUGCCCGAUUGAUUGAGCCGAUGUCGGAUUAGCUAGUUGGCGGGGUAAAGGCCCACCAAGGCGACGAUCCGUAGCUGGUCUGAGAGGAUGAUCAGCCACACUGGAACUGAGACACGGUCCAGACUCCUACGGGAGGCAGCAGUGGGGAAUAUUGGACAAUGGGCGCAAGCCUGAUCCAGCCAUACCGCGUGGGUGAAGAAGGCCUUCGGGUUGUAAAGCCCUUUUGUUGGGAAAGAAAAGCAGCAGGUUAAUACCCCGCUGUUCUGACGGUACCCAAAGAAUAAGCACCGGCUAACUUCGUG
rnacentral:rRNA from 1 species